GUGACCUGCGGAAGGACAUUAUCGAGUUUUGAACGGGUUGUCUGCUGGCUCGCAAGGGCAUGUGCACGCCUGUCUCAUCCACUCUCAACUUCUGUGCACUUUUCAUAGGCCGGCUUGUGGGUGCGUUCGCGCACUUGUAGGUGUCGGGCUUAUGCUUUACUACAAACGAUUCAGUUUUAGAAUGUCAUACUUUGCUAUAACGCAAUUUAUAUACAACUUUCAGCAACGGAUCUCUUGGCUCUCGCAUCGAUGAAGAACGCAGCGAAAUGCGAUAAGUAAUGUGAAUUGCAGAAUUCAGUGAAUCAUCGAAUCUUUGAACGCACCUUGCGCUCCUUGGUAUUCCGAGGAGCAUGCCUGUUUGAGUCUCAUGGAAUUCUCAACCUUCGGCUUUAUUGACGAAGGCUUGGACUUGGAGGUCGUGCCGGCUCUCGUAGUCGGCUCCUCUGAAAUGCAUUAGUGCGAACGUUACCAGCCGCUUCAGCGUGAUAAUUAUCUGCGUUGCUGUGGAGGGUAUUCUAGUGUUCGCGCUUCUAACCGUCUUCGGACAAAUUUCUGAACUCUGAGCUCAAAUCAGGUAGGACUACCCGCUGAACUUAAGCAUAUCAAUAAGCGGAGGAAAAGAAACUAACAAGGAUUCCCCUAGUAACUGCGAGUGAAGCGGGAAAAGCUCAAAUUUAAAAUCUGGCGGUCUUCGGCCGUCCGAGUUGUAAUCUGGA
rnacentral:sRNA from 1 species